UUUAAUAUCAGUGUGUGUAAGCUAGCAAACCAACAGUCAGACUACGAUGUAAAUAAAUGAGAACCACAGACUGGAGUAAAGUUUAGCUCUGAGGGUGGAGAGUGGACUCUGUGGCUUCAACCAGCAAUACUGUGUAUUUCACAGGUGGAUGCUGUCAUCACCAGUAUUGAAAGACGAACAAGGCUAAAUUCAACUUUAAAUAGACUACAUGGUGCGUUUUGCCCAACUCACCUUUGCCCUGGGAGAGAAAUGGAGUCUGAGAUAGAAGAGGAGGGAGGAUUGAGGGAAGGAUGGAGAAGAGAUCCCCCUCAACAUAAUGAUAACCGCAGAGAUCUGGCCACCGUCCCCCACCGGCCCCUGGACACUCAGCCCCGCGGCCCCCAGGGUCAUGGUUCUUAAUUGGCCAAGACCAGUCCUUCAUCCUGGCCUCCUUGGAUUUGUCAUUAGCCUAUCAUACCGCUGAAGGACUACGGCCAAGC